CGCCUCUUGCAAAUAAAGAAUAAGAGGUCCCGCCUGCCCUGUGACUAUAAGUUUAACGGCCGCGGUAUUUUGACCGUGCGAAGGUAGCGCAAUCACUUGUCUUUUAAAUGAAGACCUGUAUGAAUGGCAUAACGAGGGCUUAGCUGUCUCCUUUUUCAAGUCAAUGAAAUUGAUCUCCCCGUGCAGAAGCGGGGAUAAAACCAUAAGACGAGAAGACCCUGUGGAGCUUUAGACACUAGGGUAAAUCAUGUUAAACAUCCCUAAACAAAGGGCUAAACCAAAUGAAAAUUACUCCCAUGUCUUUGGUUGGGGCGACCGCGGGGAAACACAAAACCCCCACGUGGAAUGGGACUACUCCCUCCUACAACUCAGAGCUUCCGCUCUAAUUAACAGAAUUUCUGACCAGCAAGAUCCGGCAACGCCGAUCGACGAACCGAGUUACCCCAGGGAUAACAGCGCAAUCCCCUUUUAGAGUCCAUAUCGACAAGGGGGUUUACGACCUCGAUGUUGGAUCAGGACAUCCUAAUGGUGCAGCCGCUAUUAAGGGUUCGUUUGUUCAACGAUUAAAGUCCU
rnacentral:rRNA from 3 species